UGGGGGAUCGUCUAGAGGCAGGACACCGGACUUUGGAUCCGUGAACGGAGGUUCGAAUCCUCCUCCCCCAGCCU
rnacentral:tRNA from 1 species